AACCAACUCAUGCAGUUAUCGUCUUUUCACAGUAUUGAGGAGUCAUCCUUUUUGCUAGCCAGAGUGUUAAUUGGCAAAAGUGAAAAAUUCAUUUGUUUAAUUUUUUAAAGUAAAUAUUCAUAACUAUAUCUUUUAUAUGAUAAUAUAUUUUUAAAAUAAUAAUCUUUUAUAUAGACAUGCUUUAAUAGAUCUAAUAAAUGAUUGACUCGGACCUACCAAUAUGGGUAUAUAAAUACUUAAAUCUGGGUAUUUAAAAUUUCGAAUGCGAAUUUUUUUAAAACCGAACUUAUAUAUAGAUCUAGAUCUCUUGUAUAAUAUCUAGAAUAAUAUAGAUCUACAACACCUAGACUAAAGUUAAAGACUAAGGCUAAGUUAUUAACAAGUAGAACCGUGGCAACCAGUUCUGAUGAUGUACCAGAAUGGCUCAAGGAUCAUACAUAUACUAUUUCUACUCUCUGGGCAGACAUUAAUAAUAUUGGCAUCCAUUCAAUAUUUAAUUUAUGUUUGGAAAUGCAAGAAAAAGGCAUGCAUUCGUGAAAAGUCAAUGAUUGGUUGCACCUCUUAAAGAUAACUUUCUGUUAUGAGAAAAGAUGAGAUUCUUGGACUCCUGCAUAGCACCACCAGAAAGGAAAAUCUCAUCAUGUUGCAAAAUAAAAGUCUUGGACCAAUUUAAAUUUAAGAUAUAUAUAUUAUACUGUAAGCUGUAUACAUAUUUAUGUAUAUCCUGUCAUUCAGCCAACAGGUUUGGAUUUAAUAUUUCUUUAAAUCUGUUUGAUAUUGUACUUGAAAACAAUUAAUCUGAGCCCCAUUAAAACAAGAGGGAUUGCAGUGGAUGAGUGGUAAGGGAAAUUUUACUUUUUAAAAAUUAAAAUAAUAAUCUAACAAAAGUAAACAUAUAAAAUAUGGUGCAUUCUCCUUUAAACUAAAACCUGGUGCAAAGGUUUAAAAUGUUGGCAAAAAAAAAGCAACAUCAAUUAAAUAUUCUUAAUUCCCUUUGCAAAACUUACUGAGAAGAACAUGCGUGUUGUUCCCUCAUAAAUUUCUUGACAGAGGAAAUCUUGUUUAUAUUAGAUUUGAAUUAAGCAAAUUAAGAAAAAAAUUAUAAUCAUUAUUUCAAAUGGUUGUAUCUAAACCUUAUGAAUUAUUUUUCAGUUAUAAGUAUAUUGAAAUGAAUGGAUAAUCAUGAAAUUGUUAAAUAAUUGCUGCUAUCAUUCCAUUGACUAAAGAACCAUAAUUUUUUUUUUUAAAUUAAUUUCAAAAUGAUUUUUUUCAAGCAGAGUUCACAUAGAUCUUGAGUGAAAUUUUUCUUUUUUUGACUAAUGCUUCAAUUUUAUUGUAUCAUUAGUU